CAGUAGCCGCGGUAAUGCGAAGGGUGCAAGCGUUACUCGGAAUUACUGGGCGUAAAGCGUGCGUAGGUGGUGGUUUAAGUCCGUUGUGAAAGCCCUGGGCUCAACCUGGGAAUUGCAGUGGAUACUGGAUCACUAGAGUGUGGUAGAGGAUAGUGGAAUUUCCGGUGUAGCAGUGAAAUGCGUAGAGAUCGGAAGGAACAUCUGUGGCGAAGGCGACUAUCUGGGCCAACACUGACACUGAGGCACGAAAGCGUGGGGAGCAAACAGGAUUAGAUACCCCAGUAGUCCCUGUCUCUUAUAC
rnacentral:rRNA from 1 species